GGUAUCUAAACACUAAGCCCAUGUACAUUAGAGUGAAAAAUAAUGAAGGAACAAGAAAUGGCCUCUGUGAUUAUUCAUCAUCUGCUGAGCAAUCCAGAGCGAAAACAGGCAAACAAACACUCUGGAGGAAGGGGCUGGGAGAGCUGAAUGUGAACACUUCAGAGCUACUUACAGCACGAAGCAGGAGCAGCUCUUCAGAAAUGCUGCGCACGCAGAGCGGGCCCACUGUGCACACAAACAAAUUAAUCAGAAGGAAACGGCAGAAAACUCCCUCCGAAUUAAUGAAGCAAUUUAACAUGGAGACUACGGAAGAAAGACAAGAGCUCCCGUUGUAUUUCUGUAAUGUCAGGUCUGUAAUGUGUGUUCCCUGUGCUGACAGUUAAAGGGCAACUCACGGCGACAUGGGAAGAUUGCCUUUGGGGACACGUUCCCCCUUCUGCAGGGCAGCAGCUCACUGCUGUGAUUAAAGCAGCCCAGGCCGUGCAGAGAGGCACAGCUCUGCAAUGGUGAGGAAAUGGACCACAGGACUUAAAAUACCUAAUGGGACCUCAAGUAUUUAAAGCCCUUCAGGAUUCCCAGCAUAUAAAGCUCCGCUGAUUUCAGCUGGUGAGAAUCACCAGGUCAGAAAAAUUGGUUUUCUCACCGGAGCUGAGCUCCAGGGUAAGAAUGGGGCAUCGUGCUGCAGAAUUACUGCCUUUUUUGUACUAACAUGAUGUAUAUUUUCGUAUGUACUCUACAAUAUUGCUAGGGUAUUUUAAUGACAAAUAGGGAAAUCCUUGUUUUUAAACGCAUGAUGUGAAGCCAUCUAGCUUGAAUGUUUACAUGCUACUUGAAAUGAGCCCCAGCAUGCUGCACCAGGGCUGGCAUCGCAGGGAGCAGCAGCAGGGCUCUGCAUACCACAAGGAUUUACAUACAUGGAGAAAAGCCAAAAAAAUAAUCCCGACUGAACAGCACUCCUGACGCUCAUAUUUAAACAACUGAUUGCCAGGGAAUGUAUUUUUCCUCUCCCUUUUCCUGUGCUUUUCGUGAUUGUUUGUUAAAUAUAUUAAGACCCGCUCUUUGCCUCAUGCUGUUGCUGAGACCUUCUGCACCUCGUUGCCUUUUGCAGUUCUCCAAAUGAAUCACAGCACGUUUGCAACAGGUCUUACUGAAGUGAUAGAAGUUACAUGCAGAAGACAUGACCUCCACGUGUGUUGAAAUGAUGUCACACGUGGGGUGAGCUGCUCAGCAGCACGCUGGGAUGGCCAAUGGCAGAAGUGACUGCAGUGCUGACAGAGGCAGAGCUGCCCUGGCUGUUACACACAGGAUGUGCACGUUUUCAGAUAUAGGCCAUAGAUCCACUCCAGAUCUGAAGCAAAAAGGAUCUGAGGCAGAAUUAGGCCUUCUGAGCUCCACUAAGGCUCAGGCAGAGCAUUACGAUCUCCACACUCAUCACACGAGCUAAUAUCAUUUCAUUGCUGCAAAUUCAUUCCAAAUUAACAGCGGUGCAAAGGAGCAAAGAUUCCAGUGAGGUGGGCUUGCACCAAUCAAGCAUUUGGAAUGACAACCUGCCUGUCUCUUGUCAGUACACAUACUUAACACCCAACACUAACGCUUCAUUUGGGUAUGACAGUGAAAUGGCCAGAGAUUGGGGAGUGAAAGGAGAAAGGCCUGUUCAAUUAAACCACCCUUAGUAUUUAAUGCAGAUAACGUGAUCUAAACUGUAGCCAAAUGAAUAAAAUAAACCAGCCCAUUGCUUCA
rnacentral:lncRNA from 1 species